ACAGCAGGGACGAUUUGGUCUGCCUCCCACCAUUAUGCCGUUCCAGAGCAAGAGCUACUCAAGUGAGCAAAACAGAGGAUGGGACAGGUAUCAGCUCCUUUUGAGACCAGAAGCAGAGAGCGUGGUCAAAGGGAUCAGGAACUGACAUCGCUUGAAAUUGAGAUCUACUUCUUGAGAUUGUCUACAAAACGUUGUCUCUUAAAGUUCUUACACCACUCUUCCAUUGGAACCACUUUCAGGAUAACACACAUACAUACACACAUGGAAUUAUUUUUGGUGUACUACUGUAAUAUUAAAUAUCGGUCUGACUCUUACUUUUAUACAUUACUUUCCCCAUGCCAUCUUGGAAAUUCCUGAGAAUUCUUCAUCACACUCUUUCCACUCCUUUAAUUUUUAAAUUAUAUAGUAAUUCUGCAGCCUACAGAAAUUUAUUUUUAUAUUAUUGGAUAUAUAAAUAUGGCUCAAACUGAGAAUUUUGCAAAAUGCUGGAAGUAGUAAAAAAAAAGUGAACAAACAUGGGUAGUGCACCAACCACCAACACCCCCAAAACAGUUCUAUAAUUGUCAGCCUUGUGAACAGCAAUAUUCUUGGCAUUCAAAACAUCCAGAAAAAAGCAAAGCAAAUAUUCUUUCUUUUCUGAGAUUAAAAAUAUUAUAUGAA